ensembl:lncRNA
CGCCGCCCCCGCACGGCGCGGCCGGGAGGACGGGGCGGGACGAGCGCGAGGGGUCCGCGGGGAACGCCGGGGGUUCCCGAAGCCCGAGCGGGCCGCGCCUCAAGGAUGGCCUGAAGGAGGGCCUGCCCGCCGCUCUGCGUGCUGCUGCGCUGCUGCCGGCCGGCCCGCGAACGCUGCUCCCUCGCUGCUUUACUUCAGGCACCGAGGCGCGGCGGAUCCCGGGGCGGAUGGGACCUGCAAGGCAGUGGUUUGCUUGUAUCCAUACCUUGGAGAAAGGCCAUUCUGUGACUCUAUGAUAUGAAUACGUGGGAUGGUCGCAGCUGGAGGGCUGUGCUCAGUGGCUCCAUGACCAGGCGGAGGUUGGUGAUGAGCGGUGUGCCCCAGGGGUCCAUCUCAGGAUUGGCACUCUUCAACAUCUUCAGCAACGACACAGAUGAUGGCAUUGAGUGCACCCUCAUCAGUUUGCUGAUGGCACUGAGCCGAGUGCUGCAGUGGAUACAACAGGAGGAAGGGACGCCAUCCAGAGGGACCUGGGCGGGCUCACAGAGUGGGACCACGUGAACCCAAUGAGGUUCAACGAAGCCAAACGCAGGGUGCUGCACUUGGGUUGGAGCAAUCCUGGGCAUGAGUACAGAUGUGAGAAGAACUCCUGGAAAGCAGCACUGCGGAGAAGGACUUGUUGGUUCUGACAGCACGUCUGGCAGCACUACGCCAUGACCCAGCUGUGGGCAUCCCUGUCUCCACUUCUUGAGGUGCCUCGCAUCUCUAACUUUUUUGUGCAAAAAAACUAUGCUCAGAAGGCCCACUGCUAAUUAGUUCUUCUUAAUUCUCUUUCAACUAUCAUAUCCCACAGCACCAUUUAUAUCAUUUUAUUUAUGACUCUGUUAGAUUAGAGGACCUGGACUUCCCAUCUUCAUGCUUUCUUUUCACACAUGUAAGUAAGGUGUUAGAUUUAUUCCCCUGGAGCUUCUGUAGGAUUCCUUGACUACUGAUGCUAAUUGCUCAGUGACUUUCUUAACUAUAAAACACUUGGGUACACACUAUUAAUUCCUGCAGAUAAAAAAUAAAAAGAAGUUGAUUGUAUUAGCUUGUGCUUGGUAUUUUCUCUGAUUGCUGAUGUAUUCAUAAGCACUGGUGAGGCCAUGCCUGGACUGCUCCCUGGUGCAAGCCCAGCAAAGGCCAUUGGGGAUGAUGGAGGAACUGGAGCCUGACUGCUGCGAGGAGGGGCUGAGCCUUCAGCCGGGAACAGAGGAGGCUCGAGGGGAUCUCAUCCAUGUCCAUAAAUGCCCGCAGGGAGAUGCAGGGAAGACAGAGCCAGGCUCCUGACAGCUGUACCAGCACCAGGACCAGAGGCGCUGAGCAUGAGCUGGAGUGCAGAAGAUGACAGUCCAAGAGGAAGGAAAGGACAAGGGAAGUUGUACAGAGAAAACACUUUCAACAUCACAACCGGAACUGGAGAAAUGACUUCCAGAGAACCAGUAUUCUCCACCACAAGAGCUGCAGACUCCGGUGCAGUACAGACAUGCUCCAAAGCCUGGGCAAGCAAAGUCCCUUGCACAAUCCUCCAUGCUGACAGC